AGACUGGUGGAGGGCUUGCGGCGGCGGCUGCAGCGCUCCCAAAAGGGGCAGGGGGCUGGUUGGGAAGGGACGGGGCCCCCCCCCAAUCCUUUGUUGUCCUCUGUGGAGCGCCUGGGGCGGGCAAGGAGCAGCUGUGUGUGUGUGUGCGUGUGUGUGUGCGUGUGUGUGUGCGUGUGUGUGUGUGUGUGUGCCCACCAUUGUUGUCCGCUCCCAAGCACGGGGCCCGCGGGCGGGAUGCUCGCAGGGCUACCAAAAAAGGCAGCGGGAUGCUGGGCACGGGUUUUUCCCUUUCCCCUACCGAAAAGGGAAGCGCAGGGACAGAGGUGGCAUCAUCCCACCUAGCAGCGCGCAUCAGCAGGUGUUUGCUGUUCCAGGUUUGUGCUGAAAGGGUCCAGGCAGGGAUAGCGGUAGCAGGAGGCUUUGCUCCAGCUCUGCGGCGUGUUAAAAGCAGUUUUUCAGCAGGAGCGAUCCGAAAAGUAUCAGAAAAUCCCCACGUCGGAGGCAUUCCUCGCUCUGUACAUUUGUUUCGUGUUACAGCGCGCAGAGGAGAGGAGCUGAGCAGGUUGCUCGGCCGCUGGGCUAGCACGGAGAGGGGGGAUUUGUCCUGGCCUCGGCGUUUGCCGGCGAUAUCUGCAGAGGGAAGGAACAAUGGGGCCUGUCUCCUGCCCACAUUAACCGUAAUCACAAUUACUGGUCACCCAGAGCACCUUGUUUCACGCACAGCAGCGAAUAUCAGGCUGCAGGGGCUGCCUCCAUGCCUCUGCCUUCUUCAGCAGUCCUCAGAGCCAGGCAGGAUCACCAGGAGGUGGCCUUGGUGCCUUGUGGGAGCCCAGGCGAUGGCUAUUGCCCGCCAGGCAGCCCGCAGCCACGCGUCCGUCCCCUGGGGCGGCACGGCUCUGCGCCUCACUGUUGGGCUGCUGGGGCUAAAUGUCAGGCUGACUUCAAAUAACUGGUUAAAACUACUCCAAACCACGGAUAUCGGCUAUGCCGUAACCAAAGAAAGCCACGUUUCGUGGCAGAAUGUGUUUUCUGCUCAGCUUUUCAUAAUGACGUACGCUGCUUUGGUGUAUC
rnacentral:lncRNA from 1 species